AGCGAACGCUGGCGGCAGGCUUAACACAUGCAAGUCGAACGGGCAUCUUCGGAUGUCAGUGGCAGACGGGUGAGUAACACGUGGGAACGUACCCUUCGGUUCGGAAUAACUCAGGGAAACUUGAGCUAAUACCGGAUACGCCCUUUUGGGGAAAGGUUUACUGCCGAAGGAUCGGCCCGCGUCUGAUUAGCUUGUUGGUGGGGUAACGGCCUACCAAGGCGACGAUCAGUAGCUGGUCUGAGGGGAUGAUCAGCCACACUGGGACUGAGACACGGCCCAGACUCCUACGGGAAGCAGCAGUGGGGAAUAUUGGACAAUGGGCGCAAGCCUGAUCCAGCCAUGCCGCGUGAGUGAUGAAGGCCUUAGGGUUGUAAAGCUCUUUUGUCCGGGACGAUAAUGACGGUACCGGAAGAAUAAGCCCCGGCUAACUUCGUG
rnacentral:rRNA from 1 species